UCAUAAUGGUUUUUAUUGCUUUGCCCAUGACGCACAUCGACUGCUAUUUGUGAGAGUGGUGGAGUGAGGCUGUUGCUUCGAGGGGUCGUGCCUAAAAUGUCGUGUGCGCGGGACUGCGGGAGGCAACACUUGCGUUUUCUAGCCAUGUAAAAACAUGGGUUUCCGCAAGCGUGCAACUCACCCCAGUCGCAUUUCCUCUACUUCACCGCCCCAUUCUUCAAUGCAGUGUAGAGCUCCGGGCAUAUUUUACCAUAUUCGCCACCAUCCGCCUCCGAGCUUGCCAUGGCAUCCAAAUACGCAUCUUUUUCCACCACCGGUUGUCCAACCAAGAAGGCCAAGAAGGCGGCCGAUGCUGACACGAAGGAGGCACUGGUGGCGAUGCGGAGGAAGUGCGCCGUCUUCUUCCCCUCUGUCCUCCUGUUGAGCGACCUCGCCUCGAGGUACACUUUGAUGUGGGGGAGGGCAACCAAGGCGCACCCGGUGCCGGAGGUGCUCCCACGCUAUUCAAUCCCGUCAUUAAGAAGUACUCGUUCUUUGUGACGUACUUCUACUGCGGUUUGGUUCCCCCUUCUGUGCUUUCUUCGUAGAUCUGAUUUUGACCUACGACUUCCGUUUACCAGAGUUCAUGCCAAACGCAGUGACCACCAUGUUCAUUUUCACACAUCUGUGCGAAAAACUUCAUAGAAGUAGUCCCGAACAUCUCCCUCUUCCUCCAUUUCUUCUAUCCGCGCAUAGAGGCCGAGGAUGCUUGCUCGAGCAGCAUCACAUGGAUCUCUCGUGCCUCAAAAAAGUAGGUGUAUCCCACCAGCAACCUGCACAAGAAGUGGGAAGUAUGUCGGGCCGAUUGGUGCUACAUCGUCGACAUGGUGCCUCCAUCCUUUUUUGAGGUGUGUAAAUCGAAGCCCGUACACAAGGACAAAUGGAGAGCCCUUGCCCCGGACGACGAGAAGUUGGGUAUCACCAUUGACCACAUGCUCUGGCUGAGGGCUGUUGGGCUAACCAUAGAGAUGGUGGGCUCUGAUAUUAUUGCCAGAUGCAUCGCUCUCAUCCAGGAUAGGAAGCGUUUUUCCUUGGAGUAUGUUGGGCUUGCCAACGCCUUGCGGUUAAGCCCCAUGCUCAAUGGUGACCUGACCUACCUACAACUUGUCUUCUUCCGCCACCAGCUAGUCCAUUCAGACGACAAGUUCAUACUCCCUCCGUCUGUGAUCCCUCUUUACAACAACUCUUGCAAGGACGCGAUAGUGGCGACGAUGUCGGCAUGUUACGCGCACGUGUUGGAACCUAUGUGGUGAGCCCCAACGAAGGAGGUGGUUCAGGCAUGGUUCGACAACCUGACGGAGGCACUGUUAGGGAUGAUGGGCCGAUGAUCAAUGUCACCACCAAAGCGGAAGUUAACUUCAUGGGGAAGUCGGACGUUGAGGUGGGCCUUGGCGUGGGCGGCAGCAGCUCGAGGGCUGCCGCGCUUCGUGAAAAAGAAGAGGAGGAGGAAGCCCAUAAAGUGGGGCAUGACGAAGACCCGCCAACAUAGGGCUAGCCGGAGGAGCCCAACAACGCUAAGGGUGUCGGGGCCGUAGGUGACAAGGUUGUCACGGAGAUGGAGCUUGAGGACCCCUUGGUUCGCGAUGUCCCUAAGAGAGCGUGCGUGCUCCUCAUGGCCGGUAUAGGGUAGUUGGUCCAUCGCACUCCUCCCCGGAGGUCGAGGACCAAAAGGAGGAGUAAUAGGAGGACCCUGCUGCCAAUGUCUUUCGGCCACGGGGGACUAAGUGGACUGGCGCCACGUUCCCGGCAAGCACUUCUGGUGAGCCAGCAGGGCAUUCCAGAGUGCCUACUCCGCCACCUGCCCCUCCCCCUACUAGAAGGGGAUGUUAAACUUGUCGUCUUUCAGCUCGGGAGCAAAGGAUGAUGAGUAAGCACUACUCCUUUUAAUUCUUGUAGCACUCUCGCUUCUUUUCUUGCCAAAUCUUGUUGCCGAUGUCGAUUUUGUAGAGACGAGGAGAACUUUGCACAACAGAUGGCUAGGUGGACCAAUCCGGCAUCAGUAGUAGAGGGCGCGAGGAGCUCGCAGGUGGAGCACGAGCUUGUUGUCGUCAGUUCCCCCGACAACCCCGACCUGGAGGCACCAUCCCAGGACCCGGUAGACGCGGGCACAUGCAUCGGCACCACUGAUUAAGCCCCUCCGCAGAUGGGGACAGAGCGGCUGGGAGCAUCUCAUGGCCAUCCAACUUGGAGGAGAGCCCCCUGGUGGGAGCUACCGUCGAUGUGCUUACCCUUGCCGAAGAUGCACUAGUGCAUGGGGCCACAGACUGUAGUACGACAAUGACAGAUGUCACCGCAGGAGGCGAGGUGCCUCCUCGAUGGGAGUCCCUGGCUAAGUGUUAUUUUCUUCUAGAAUCUUCACAUAUGUUUUCUUGUUUUAUCUUCUUGAACUUAUUAUUAGCCUAAUUUUCUACUCCCAGGUCAACCCCUGUCGAGAGAACUCGAUACUAACGUCAACAUCGAGGUAACCGCCAAUGAAGCGAUCGAGGAAGCGACUCUGAUCACGGCUGAAGAGGACGCCACCCAUCGCGGCCAAGGGACACUGGCUAGCAGGCCCUCAAGGGUUCGUCCUUGGAGACGGAGGUAAGUGCCCCGGAGGCAUCUGCCCCAGGAACGUCGACGACGGGUCUUUCCUUCUCGCUAGGGACCAUAGGCUUGUUCGCCGCUGGUCCAUCGACGUUGACGGAGCCAGAGGUAAGUGUACCGGAAGAUUGACGAUUUGAAGUUCGCCAGCUUCCCCGGUGACGCGGUCUUCAAAGCUUUCUCUGAAGGGACCGGGUGACUGUUGAUAUGGUAAACACCACUCCCACGGGAGAGUUGACAAUCGAUGCCCUCGGUGGGAGUGAUGAGGCCAAAGAACACGCCAUCAUCCCCUCCUUGGGCAAGGAUUUCCGGAAUCUGAAGGCACUCUUUGUUAGGCUGACCAUAGUGGAAGUAACUAAGGUAGUAUCAUGCACUUGGGACUAGCAAACAUGCUGAUGUGGCAGACAAUUAAAGAAGAGAGAGAGGGUUAGAGUGACAUAGGUCGAUACCGUAACAUAUUAAAUGCUAUGCUACUAUGUGUUAUGCAUGUCAAUAAAUAAGGUCAUUUAUGAUACUACUUUAUGAUACUAUGCACUAUGAAGGUAGUAUCAUACAAUAGUAUCAUAUGCAUGAUACUACUAUAUGAUACUCCCCACUAUGACCAGCCUUAGUCGCUCGAAGAAGAUGGACCAUCGGGAGGCUCUUCUUGCAGCAGCGGAGGAUAAAUUCCGGGUGCAUAUUCCCGAUAUGCAGUCCUAUUGUAUGGAGAGCCGCAAGGAUUUCUCUAGCCAGUAGGUCGAGCUUGCCAAGGCCAAAGUUGACCUCAAAAAUCAAAAGGCCGAGGCAAAGAAAAUAUGGACGGAGACAAAAGAUCUCUUCGCCAACACGGAGGCGAAGCAAACAUCACGCAAGAUCUCGCUAUCUACUGGCAAGAGGAGGAGCUCGCCUCUCAUGAAAAGGCUCUUGUCCACAAGCUUGAGGCUGGAUUGGGUAAGCAAAUCUAAGAGCUGGAGUCAAAUCAGAAGGACGCCAUUGAGAGGGAGCUACCGAGCACGCCAACAAGCUCCAAGAGGCCGUCAAUGCCACCGAAGCCGCUCAAUCCUCCAAGGCUGAGCUAGAAGACAAGGUACGGCGGCUAGAACAGGACCUCGCUGCUUCUAAGCAGGAGACCUUGAAGCUGUUGGAUGACGUCCAGAAGGGGAUCCAGGCCUUGGUGGAUCUCCAAGUGAGGCUCGCUCACAAGGCCAAGGAGCUGAAGGUUGCCGUGUCAGCCAAUGCUCACCGGAGCACGAGGGUGAGUACCCAUGAAGGCAGUCUCAAAGUUGUCCAACGCGGGGAAUGCAGUUUGCUUGAGGAACUCCAGAAGGAUAAGGAAUUGCUUUCUUCUACCACAGAAGUCUGAAACAAACUCCAGGAGAGUGUUGGGUUGUGGAUGGACCAGCUCGUCAGCAUUGCCGGUAGGCUCUCUACCGAGCUUGUAAAGAUGUGCUUGGAGGAGUGCACCUUUUCCAACGACACCAAGGAGAUGACGAGCGCGCACCUAUCCAUGUUCCUCACAAAGCUCAUCCACGUCUUGGCAAAGUAUAAAGCGGGCGGGCUGACAAAUUCCUCAGUGGCUGCCGUGAGCUGUGUUAUGAGGUCCUCCACAAGGUCUUGCUGAGGUCACCCAUCAUAGCCCUAUUCUAUACCUAAUAAUAAAGCGGCUAUUGUUUCCGUUAGAAAACCCACCGCGGCAUUUUUGUAAAAAGCCCCUGCAAUUUUUAUAAAAAACGAUUCGGGAACACCAGCCGCACAUCCCUUCCUUAUCCAGUCCUCCCGACCGCGCCACCAACACUCUCGUUGCCAGCCACGGAUCGCACCGCCGCCGCCCCUCUCCAACCACGCCUCGCCCCGCUCAUCCUAUCCUCCCGAGCGUGCCACCAACGCUCCCGUCGCUAGCCACGGAUCGCGCCGCCCCCGCCCCCCCCUCUCCAAUCACUGCCUCGCCCCGCCCAUCCUGUCCUCCCAAUCGCGCCACCAACGCUCCCGUCGCUAGCCAUGGACCGUGCCGCCGCCGCCCCUCUCCAACCACGCCUCGUCGAGGCUCUGAUUGGGGGAAGACGGUGAGGAGGAUGACGAGGUCCGAGAGGAGAGGUUGGAGGGAUGGACGCGUGAGUCGAGCCGCCACGACCUCCUCCUCCUCUCUCUGUGCUUGAUCUCGAUCCGUGUACAUCUUCUUUUGGCGCCUCCCCGCACAUUCACUCCCACUCCAGAUGCAGGUCUUCCUCUCGACGACGACGACGGUGCCAAAGGGCCCCACAUCCCAACCGGAAGGCAGAACGCUAGACCCAGAUCCCCUCCCUCUGCAGCUAGAGUGACUCCAACCCCUCCCAGUCGUACGCCGGAGGACGAGGCCCUGGAUUCCGUCAGCGAGUAGGAGCCAACGGUUGAGGUUGAGGAGGAGGUCUGGGAGUACGUGAAGCCGUCGGAGAAAGCCAAGGUGUAUGUGUGCAACCUUCCCUACAACGUCAGCAGUGAGUGCCUCGCGCAGCUCUUGGGUCAGGCUGGCGUCGUUCAGGUUUCCAAGGUGAGCAACUCUUCCUCUUUGACCAUCUUGACCGCUGGAUGCUAGCAAAAGGUAACCCACAUUGUAGAUGUUGUUAGCCCGCUGUUGCUAUUGUUCCUCUGUACACACAUGCACAUUUGCCUGAUGAAGAAAAUGCCUCAAAUCAUCCAACUUUGAUUAUGUGUCGUGCUCUUGCAAGAAUGAAACCGAUACAUUCAGUUCUGUAUCGUAAUGAUGCUCGAUUUAAUGUGGUGGUUGUGUCGUGAAAGUCACAUGAUGAAGUGUUUAUGCACAACUGAAGUUGACACAUUUAGUUUUGCAUCUAUCGAACAACCUUCAAAACUUCUGAAAGAAAAGAGCUGGAGAACCAUCCUGUAGGCUCUCCUUUACUCCCAACAUAUUAUUUCGCAUCCAAAACUUCUGAUAAACGUAACAGGUUCCAAUGCAAUUUCACUUGCUAGAAGUUAUUAUUCAGGUUGUCAUCAUACUAUAUCAACUUCAAGUUUUAUUUUAUAUGAUCUCAAGUAGUCAAUAUCCGAGCCCGAGCACUCCAAUUACUGCAGGGGGAGGAUUUCCACAAUAUCCCUGGGUUGGUUAACCUAUUUGGAAUAUAAUUCCCUUGUAUGACGUCAAGCAUUGUCAACUCUAUAACACAUUGUAUCGACUAUCAAGAUAAUAUCACACUUGAUUCUCAGACAAUAAUUGUUUCAUGAAUUGCAACAGGGUGAACAGAUAUGUGCGGACCUUGUCAUGUGAAUCACAUUGCUUACAAUGAUUUCAUGAUUAAGAUCUCAGAUUUAACAGUUGUAUUUCUUUUUUUUCGGAGAAGAACAAGAUGCAGCUUGUAAAGGUGUGCCUUUAGAAGUUUAGCUAAAUAAACCGAAUAUAUCUACUGCAAGUUGGUGUAUAGGAAAGUGGAUCCAUGCAUAGUUUUUGUAUUAUAUACAUAGUUAACUCAAUACUGAUUUCCUUUUCUUGAUUUGGAGUGAGUGUGUUUGCUUGACUCAGCGUCCGUAUGAUUGGUCUCAUAUAUGAAUUAUGCUAUUUCUAUCCUUGAAAGUACGUAAUAAAUCUAGAGUUCAGUUUGAGUUAUGCAUGUACUGAAUCCUCAUUUUCUUAUUUGUAACUCCCAUUUGGUAGACCUGAUCUGUCACAUGCACAACACCAACUAAGGAAUCGAAAGGCC
rnacentral:lncRNA from 1 species